UACGUAGGUGGCAAGCGUUAUCCGGAAUUAUUGGGCGUAAAGCGCGCGCAGGCGGUUUCUUAAGUCUGAUGUGAAAGCCCACGGCUCAACCGUGGAGGGUCAUUGGAAACUGGGGGACUUGAGUGCAGGAGAGAAGAGUGGAAUUCCACGUGUAGCAGUGAAAUGCGUAGAGAUGUGGAGGAACACCGAUGGACGAAGGCAGCCCCUGGGCUAACACUGACGCCUCAUGCACGAAGCGUGGGGAGCAAACAGG
rnacentral:rRNA from 1 species